CAGGGCCUCACACAUACUAGGUAAGUGUUCUACUUUUGAGCUAUAGCCUCAGGCCUUGCUUUGUCUCUUCAGGUUUUAUCAUCUUGCUUUAAAAAUGCCUUACAAUUUUUCAGCAGGCAGACAUGAUGUAUUCUGUAAUAGACAGAGGUAAACAGGCCUGUGGUGAAUUUAUAUCUAUCAGCUGGAGUUAGGCUGUGUUUACUGCUUACUGUAACUGUGUCAAAGGCUUCAGUUUCCUCUUUAAUUUGGCUCCCUUGUCUAAGUUUCCCUGGAAACUCUUUUGAGUGACAGCUUUCUCAGUUGUAAUUCCCUGUGUUUAUAUUGGAGGCAUACUGAUGCUGUAGGAAGGUUCUGGUCAGGGGAAGCUUCCGUUCUCCAUGGGCUCUGAGAAGAGCUGCCAUCUUCAGUUUGUCCCUGCAUCUAUUGUGAAGAUGGAGCCAUGCCUUUUGAGCUUUGGCAUACAAUUUGAGCAGAAACUGGAAGAAAGUCAUUCUACUGAAGUUUUCAUUGGUCUAGAGGAGAACAACAACAACAAAAAAGUGUGACCUUUUGUCCGAAGCCAAAUGUUAGAUUCUGGACAUGUUAAUAGAUGCCCAGCUCAUCACUGGCCUGGAAAGUUCCUUGAGAGCAGAAAUGGUUCCCACAUCCGAGGCUAUGCUGGGUAUAGAGGAUGCUGUGCCUGCUCCUGUCCCUCUGUGAAACCAAUAGCUGUAAAGAUCAGACCUGGAGACUCCAUGGCUGCCCCCUACCUCUGGAGGAAUAUGAUCUGGUGAUGCCAUCAUAAGGAUUUGGAAGAUGGAAGAAAGUGAGGCUACCUUAGGGGAGGCUUCAGCCAAAGAACCGUAGCAGUUUUGCCUCUUCCCUUCCAUUCCGGAGGUGGCAUCCAACAACAGGCUCCAAGCCUUGAAUGAAUGUUAAUCUAGGGUGGUCUUCCCUACUCAACAUCUCAACAUCUGCAAUGACCCUUUGUCACGUGACACCCCCACAGAGUGCAUGCAGCAUUCGGCAUGGACAUCUUUGCCAGACUGUUCUGCGUAUGUAUUUCAGUGCCAUGCUUAAAUACCAGGCUCUAGGGAAUUACAGCUGAUAGCUUCCCUCAUCUCUCUCUCUGGUGUCUCCACUGCCCUGGAAUCAGACUCUUCAGAGAAAGAGAGCAUCAAGGUGACCCCAGCCUGGCUCCCUCAUCCAGGCAGAAACUGUCCCUUUAAAAGAGAGAGGAGCAGAGAUGGCUCACUGCCUUGAAGAGCCUUCUGAUUGACAGCCAAGGGCUCCCAGGAGGCCUGAUGUCACCACCAGUGAGCAAC
rnacentral:lncRNA from 1 species